GAUUGCUCUGCAAGCAGCACCAGCCACUGGCGCUUCAUUUUGAGGGGUGGUGUGCCUCUCCCUCUGAGCCCAGCCAGCAGUGGAGGAAAUGAAGAGGCUCUCAAGGGAGGGGCAAGGGAAAGAGGCCAGGGUAGGGUGGAGGAGAGCAGUGAGAGCAGCUGCCUCUUCAACAUGGAAGGCUCCUCCCGCUGCUGCUGUUCGCCCAGGAGACAGGUGCCCAUGGAGGAAUGAAAGGCAGGGAAGAGAAGGAAGGUGCCAGUUCCCUGGGGUCCUGUGUCUGCCAGCUACUGUUAAGUGCCUCUGAGAAACUCUGCUUUCAUCUAACGGGGACCACCUAUCCUGGGAACCUCAGUACAUGGGACCAGAACCCCUGGGUGGACUCUUUGGCAAGAUGAAUUGGACCAAUGAGACCACCACCUCCAUGAAGCCAGGGGCUGACCCUAAAGGACUCAGUGGCUUAGGACCAACAGCCACCGUUCUUUCUGGCUCCAUCGGUGUCAUAGCCCUCAUCUUGCUCCUGAUGGGGCUCAUGUCCAUGCCACUGAAGAAAUGGAGGCACGAGAGACUAUUUAAGAAACAACUGAAGCAUCAGAUGAACUAUCUCCACAAAUCCUCGGAGUUUUCCUGCCAUGCCGAUGCCAUAUAUUCCAACGUGAUCAACCUGGCCCCCAGGAAGGAGGAGGACUUCGCUGUCUAUGCCAACGUGCCCCCUUUCAAUCGCCCCAGAAGGACAUCCCCAGACCAAGUGGAAUAUGCCUCCAUUGUGUUCCACUGAUGGGAAGCCAACGAGAUGCUUCAGGGUGGAGAGUCAGACCUGUGCCCUAGCUGGCUCACAAUGCAGCUUUUGCUUUAGAUGUGUGUGUGUGUGUGUGUGUGUGUGUGUGUGUGUGUGUGUGUGUGUCUUUGAAAUGCAUUAAACUUAUUCUGAUGGAGACAAGUGGCUAAGUAUUUCUUCUCAUUUAUUGGAAGCAAAGUGCAGCUCUAAUGGAAAGGAGUGACACUUGUAAGAUAAGGGACACAAUCGUUCUGAGCCCCUUGAGCUCCAGAAAUGCUUUCCCGAGAGAGACUGGCCAAUAGCAGAGGAUCCCUUCUUAGCUUCUGCCCCUCCUGAGGAUAGGGCUGAGGAGUGGAGCUUCUGGGACCAGCUUCUGGAUUUUUUUUUCUUUCUUGUUCUUCCCAGUUAGAAAUUGAAUUAACCUUGUGCAGGUUAAUUCACGAGUCAAGCUCAUACAUGUGGAGACAGGAAACGCUAACUAUUGUGCAUGUCUUCGCAACAGCUUUGCAGGACAACACACCAAGUAUCGGGGGAGAAGGAGGCGUGGAGGAGCUGCAGCUACUUGUGAAGUGCUUCUUCCUGGGGGCGUGAAACUUGGCGGAGCUCCCGCAGAGAGUGGAGGGGAAGCAGCGCCUGGUGGAAGUGGAUACAUGUCACCACUGACCAGGGUCUGCUCCGUGUGAAUUGGAAGAGCUCUGGAACUUUGCAAAUGACUCACUCCCUCUUUCCUCCAUUUGAAAACCUUCAUUAAACACCACCAUCUUCUAGACCCAGGGAAUGCAGCAGCGAACACAACAGACAAAACCUUGUUCUCAUGGAGCUUACCUUCUAGGAGGGGGAGAAGGGCAAUGAACAAAUAAACAAGCAAAUACACAGACUGUCA
ensembl:lncRNA